UACGAAGGGGGUUAGCGUUGCUCGGAUUGACUGGGCGUAAAGGGCGCGUAGGCGGUUCGUACAGUCAGACGUGAAAUUCCUGGGCUCAACCUGGGGGCUGCGUUUGAUACGUGCGGACUUGAGUGCGGAAGAGGGUCGUGGAAUUCCCAGUGUAGAGGUGAAAUUCGUAGAUAUUGGGAAGAACACCGGUGGCGAAGGCGGCGACCUGGUCCGAUACUGACGCUGAGGCGCGAAAGCGUGGGGAGCAAACAGG
rnacentral:rRNA from 1 species